AUGGCUGAGAGUGGUUGGGACAGAUUUCUAAAUCUCUCUCUCUUAUCUCUGUCUCUCUCUGUACUACCUGUCUCUCUCUCUUUAUCUCUGUCUCUCUUUUUAUCUCUGUCUCUCUCUGUACUACCUGUCUCUCUUUAUCUUGGUCUCUGUCUCUCUCUUUACUCUCUGUCUCUCUCUUUACUCUCUCUCUCUCUUUUUAUCUCUGUCUCUCUCUUUACUCUCUUUAUCUUGGUCUCUGUCUCUCUCUUUACUACCUCUCUCUCUUUUUAUCUCUGUCUCUCUCUGUACUACCUGUCUCUCUUUACUCUCUCUCUCUCUUUACUCUCUCUCUCUCUCUCUUUUUAUCUCUGUCUCUCUCUUUACUCUCUUUAUCUUGGUCUCUGUCUCUCUCUUUACUCUCUUUAUCUUGGUCUCUGUCUCUCUCUUUACUCUCUUUAUCUUGGUCUCUGUCUCUCUCUUUACUACCUCUCUCUCUUUUUAUCUCUGUCUCUCUCUUUACUCUCUGUCUCUCUCUUUACUCUCUCUCUCUCUUUUUAUCUCUGUCUCUCUCUUUACUCUCUCUCUCUCUUUACUCUCUCUCUCUCUCUUUUUAUCUCUGUCUCUCUCUUUACUCUCUCGCUCUCUCUCUCUCUCUCUCUUUUUAUCUCUGUCUCUCUCUUUACUCUCUGUCUCUCUCUUUACUCUCUGUCUCUCUCUUUAUCUCUGUCUCUCUCUUUACUCUCUCUCUCUCUUUUUAUCUCUGUCUCUCUCUGUACUACCUCUCUCUCUUUUUCUCUCUCUCUCUCUCUCUUUAUCUCUGUCUCUCUCUCUUUUUCUCUCUCUCUCUUUAUCUCUGUCUCUCUCUUUACUCUCUGUCUCUCUCUUUAUCUCUCUCUCUCUCUUUACUCUCUCUCUCUCUCUUUAUCUCUGUCUCUCUGUACUACCUCUCUCUCUUUACUACCUCUCUCUCUCUUUAUCUCUGUCUCUCUCUGUACUAGCUCUCUCUCUUUUUCUCUCUCUCUCUCUCUUUAUCUCUGUCUCUCUCUUUACUCUCUCUUUCUUUCUCUUUAUCUCUGUCUCUCUCUUUGCUACCUCUCUCUAUUUCUCUUGCUCUUCCUCAACCACUGA
rnacentral:lncRNA from 1 species